ACCUGGGGGGCUCAGUUGGUUGAGCAUCUGACUUGGGCUCAGGUCAUGAACUCACAGUUCAUGGGUUCAAGUCCUGAGUCAGGUU
rnacentral:tRNA from 1 species